rnacentral:rRNA from 1 species
CAGCAGCCACGGUAAUACGUAGGUGGCAAGCGUUGUCCGGAAUUAUUGGGCGUAAAGGGCCCGCAGGCGGUUUCUUAAGUCUGAUGUGAAAGCCCCCGGCUCAACCGGGGAGGGUCAUUGGAAACUGGGAAACUUGAGUGCAGAAGAGGAGAGUGGAAUUCCACGUGUAGCGGUGAAAUGCGUAGAGAUGUGGAGGAACACCAGUGGCGAAGGCGACUCUCUGGUCUGUAACUGACGCUGAGGAGCGAAAGCGUGGGGAGCGAACAGGAUUAGAUACCCCAGUAGUCCCUGUCUCUUAUAA